UGCGCCGGCUGGAGUAACGACCA
rnacentral:misc_RNA from 1 species